GAAACUUACGCUAAUACCGCAUACGACCUACGGGUGAAAGCAGGGGACCUUCGGGCCUUGCGCGAUUGAAUGAGCCGAUGUCGGAUUAGCUAGUUGGCGGGGUAAAGGCCCACCAAGGCGACGAUCCGUAGCUGGUCUGAGAGGAUGAUCAGCCACACUGGAACUGAGACACGGUCCAGACUCCUACGGGAGGCAGCAGUGGGGAAUAUUGGACAAUGGGCGCAAGCCUGAUCCAGCCAUACCGCGUGGGUGAAGAAGGCCUUCGGGUUGUAAAGCCCUUUUGUUGGGAAAGAAAUCCAGCCGGCUAUUUUCUGGUUGGGAUGACGGUACCCAAAGAAUAAGCACCGGCUAACUUCGUGCCAGCAGCCGCGGUAAUACGAAGGGUGCAAGCGUUACUCGGAAUUACUGGGCGUAAAGCGUGCGUAGGUGGUUGUUUAAGUCUGUUGUGAAAGCCCUGGGCUCAACCUGGGAACUGCAGUGGAAACUGGACAACUAGAGUGUGGUAGA
rnacentral:rRNA from 1 species